AGGCCUUGCUAAGCAUGCGUGGUAUCAAGAGGUGCAUUGAGGCGCUCCUGCAGCCUCCUCCCGGCACGGGACUCCUCACAACCCCCAGCCUCAGCUUCCCUGACAGGGCAGGGGCUCACUCUUCUCCACUCCGGGCCAGGAACGCAGCCUGCUUGCCUUUUGUCCAAUUGGGUGCUCUUUCUUUGCGACUGAUACAAAGUGGGAACAAACUCCGCUUCCGGUGAUGCCCGGGCCCCAGGAGGCUGGGGGAGAAGUGCACGCUGCCCAGCCUUCAACCUGAACUGCCCCCAGCACUUCCGAGCCCCGACCCCUGCAGCUGUGAGGGAAGCCCCGACCUCUGCCCUGGCCACAUCCUUCCCCUGAUCUCAUGGCUGAAAAGCCACACCAGAAUUCCUGCAAUUCAGUGAGGCAGCUCUUCAAAACCAAGCAGCUGGUGACGCACAGGGACAGAGGGUAGGCCUGCGGGGGAGAGGGCGGGAAAGGCCCUCACAGCAGGGCCCAGAGGAAGACUGACCCCAGGCUGAGCAGGAGCUGUACGCACAGGGCCCAGGGGCUGCUGGCUGCCAGGACCACCGCAUUGCAGAGGUCUCCCUUGCAGCAAGAGAUCUGGGAGUCCACAACGGCACUUAACCUGCCCUCUGCCCUGGCACCCCAGGGACUCACUGCCAAAGACGCUCACUUUCUGGGAGACACAGACCCCAUCCAGGAAGGGGCACGAGACCACGCUGCAGGAGGCCCCUUCCAAGACCGCCAAGCAUCUGUAGCAGCGCAGACCCUGAGCUGGGAGAGAGGGCAAGGAUUCUCUCGGCACCACGGGAACCACCUUCUCUACUCUCACUGAACACCCCUGGGAUGUAUCUGUAAAAAUUGGAACACCUUUCGGCUAGAAACCAGAGGAAGCCGCUCAUGACACCCGGGAGCUCACAGAGGCUCUGAAGUUUCUAUUCAAGAAAACAACUCCAGAUGGGGCUGAUCUGGAAGACAAGUAACAUCUUCCUUUUCUUGGUGCUCGCCUGCCGUGCUCUAGGUGCUUUUAGAGAUGCUGGUCUGUGUGCUAGGGAAGCGAUGAACCAUACUGUUAGUCUAUUAAACAUAACUCAACCUGG
rnacentral:lncRNA from 1 species